rnacentral:rRNA from 1 species
UGGGGAAUCUUGCGCAAUGGGCGAAAGCCUGACGCAGCCAUGCCGCGUGAAUGAUGAAGGUCUUAGGAUUGUAAAAUUCUUUCACCGGGGAAGAUAAUGACGGUACCCGGAGAAGAAGCCCCGGCUAACUUCGUGCCAGCAGCCGCGGUAAUACGAAGGGGGCUAGCGUUGCUCGGAUUUACUGGGCGUAAAGGGCGCGUAGGCGGACAGUUUAGUCAGAGGUGAAAGCCCGGGGCUCAACCCCGGAAUUGCCUUUGAUACUGGUUGUCUUGAGUUUGGGAGAGGUAUGCGGAACUCCGAGUGUAGAGGUGAAAUUCGUAGAUAUUCGGAAGAACACCAGUGGCGAAGGCGGCAUACUGGCCCAAUACUGACGCUGAGGCGCGAAAGCGUGGGGAGCAAACAG